AAGUCGUGACAAGGUUUCCGUAGGUGACCUGCGGAAGGAUCAUUAACACGUAUCCAACGUCCCGUGAACUUUCAGCUUGCUCCUGUAGCCCGUGAAAGCUGAGUCAGCAGAUUGUGAUAUUUUAUAGCUACGGUUGAGCGAUUGCAUCUAGUGAUGGCAUCCCAGUAAUCAGUGUUCUGAAAGUGUCAUUGAUGGCGCAGUCACGAUCGCUGUAGGCCCGGGUCACCGGGCUCUGCCCCUUUACGACAACUACAGUUUUGAAAUUCGCACGGCACCAAAAGCCGAACAACUGUUAACAAUGGAUAUCUUGGUUCUC
rnacentral:misc_RNA from 1 species